rnacentral:rRNA from 1 species
GGAAUAUUGGACAAUGGGCGCAAGCCUGAUCCAGCCAUGCCGCGUGCAGGAUGACGGUCCUAUGGAUUGUAAACUGCUUUUGUACAGGAAGAAACACUGGUUCGUGAACCAGCUUGACGGUACUGUAAGAAUAAGGAUCGGCUAACUCCGUGCCAGCAGCCGCGGUAAUACGGAGGAUCCAAGCGUUAUCCGGAAUCAUUGGGUUUAAAGGGUCCGUAGGCGGUCUUGUAAGUCAGUGGUGAAAGCCCAUCGCUCAACGGUGGAACGGCCAUUGAUACUGCAGGACUUGAAUUAUUAGGAAGUAACUAGAAUAUGUAGUGUAGCGGUGAAAUGCUUAGAGAUUACAUGGAAUACCAAUUGCGAAGGCAGGUUACUACUAAUUGAUUGACGCUGAUGGACGAAAGCGUGGGUAGCGAACAGGAUUAGAUACCCCGG